rnacentral:rRNA from 1 species
UACAACAUAGAGUUAAUGCACCAGAUCCCAUUAUAAUUUCGUAGUUAAGUGCGCUCAGGAUAGAGUAGUACUGGGAUGGGUGACCACCUUGAAAGUUAUAGUGUUUUAC